GAACUGCGAUACGUAAUGUGACUUGCAGAAUCUCGUGAAUCAUCAAAUCUUUGAACGCAAAUGGCGCGUCCGGGUAUUCCCGGGCGCACGCCUGUCUGAGUAUCAUUCUCCCCUCUCUCGUCCGUAACAGGGCGGUGCUGGCGGCCACACGCGGUCAAACGCGUGCGCUCGCUCAAACAUUUUUCACAAAACCCGGGAUGAGAUCGGAACCGAGUCCACGCUGUAAGCUCGCGCUCCUCGCGGACUCGCCGCCGACCCCGCCCGCGGUACCCAACCAUGAUCUCAGAUCAGGCGAGACGACCCGCUGAACUUAA
rnacentral:misc_RNA from 1 species